AUGUCAUGAUUCGGCCAUUGGGCUAACUUUUCAUUAAACCUCUCAUAAGCUUCAAAUAAUGGUUCUCAAUUUAUUUGUUAGAAGUUAACAAUCUCAUCCUGCUUUU
rfam:Capsicum annuum cultivar Zunla-1 chromosome 8, whole genome shotgun sequence